rnacentral:rRNA from 1 species
AGCAGCCGCGGUAAUUCCAGCUCCAAUAGCGUAUAUUAAAGUUGUUGCAGUUAAAAAGCUCGUAGUUGAAUUUCGGGGUUAGUAGGUUGGUCAUGCCUCUGGUAUGUACUGGUCUCACUGAUUCCUCCUUCCUGAUGAACCUUAAUGCCAUUAAUUUGGUGUUUUGGGGAAUUUGGACUGUUACUUUGAAAAAAUUAGAGUGUUUAAAGCAAGCUAACGCUUGAAUACAUUAGCAUGGAAUAAUGAAAUAGGACGUUCGAUCCUAUUUUGUUGGUUUCUAGGAUUGACGUAAUGAUUAAUAGGGAUAGUUGGGGGCAUUAGUAUUCAAUUGUCAGAGGUGAAAUUCUUGGAUUUAUUGAAGACUAACUACUGCGAAAGCAUUUGCCAAGGAUGUUUUCAUUAAUCAAGAACGAAAGUUAGGGGAUCGAAGACGAUCAGAUACCGUCGUAGUCUUAACCAUAAACNAUGCCGACUAGGGAUCGGAUGAUGUUAAUUUUUUAAUGACUCAUUCGGCGCCUUA